GUCAAUAAAUGGAUUGGAGAUGAUGAUUCCACUUGCUUUCCUCGCCGGGACAGGCGUAAGAGUGGCAAAUGAAUUAGGAGCAGGCAAUGGAAGAAGAGCAAGAUUUGCAAUGAUCAUAUGUGAUAGAAUCGUUGAUUAUUGGUUUAAUAUUUUUGGUUCUUGUAGUAUUUCUUCAUGAUCAAAUCGGUUGGAUCUUCUCUUCAAGUGAAACCGUCAUAAAAGCAGUCACUGAUCUCUCUUUCCUGUUGGCCUUUACAAUUCUUCUUAACAGUGUCCAACCGGUUCUUUCUGGUGUUGCGAUUGGUUCGGGUUGGCAAUCAUUCCUGGCAUAUAUAAAUUUGGGAUGCUAUUAUUUCAUCAGUCUUCCACUUGGAUUUGUCAUGGGAUGGAUUUUCAAGUUUGGUGUCAAGAGCAUUUGGGCUGGUAUGAUAUUCGGAGGAACUGCGAUUCAGACAUUGAUAUUGACUUUUAUUGUUACGAGAUGUGACUGGGACAAAGAGGCACAAAAAGCAAGCGUGCGCGUUAACAAAUGGUCGAUCUCAAAUUCAGAGGCAAG